rnacentral:rRNA from 1 species
CCUACGGGAGGCUGCAGUGAGGAAUAUUGGUCAAUGGACGGAAGUCUGAUCCAGCCAUGCCGCGUGCAGGAAGACGGCUCUAUGCGUUGUAAACUGCUUUUGUACAAGGGUAAACCUGAAUACGUCUAUUCAGCUGAAAGUACUGUACGAAUAAGGAUCGGCGAACUACGUGCCAGCAGCCGCGGUCAUACGGAGGAUCCAAGCGUUAUCCGGAUUUCUUGGGUUUAAAGGGGGAGUCGGCGGAUUGAUAAGUUAGAGGUGAAAUGUCCGAGCUUAACUCGGGAACUGCCUCUAAUACUGUUGAUCUAGAGAGUAGAUGCGGUAGGCGGAAGGUAUGGUGUAGCGGUGAAAUGCUUAGAGAUCAUACAGAACACCGAUUGCGAAGGCAGCUUACCAAUCUAUAUCUGACGUUGAGGCACGAAAGCGUGGGGAGCAAACAGGAUUAGAUACCCCUGUAGUC